GGGGGCGAAUGGCUUCGACCGGAUGACGGAUCGAUAAGCUGCAUGCCCAGGACGCCGGUUGGCCUGGCUAAUCAUCCGGCACCUAAAGUUUAAAUGGCAACUCACAGUUGCGCAUGGCGGCCUAAUUAGGCCACCCGUCCUGUCAGACCUCGCCUGCGGGUCUGGUAAGGGCGCCAAUCAGCGGGCUUAGCCUCGUCGGUCGUCCGGGCCGGCGCGGUGAGACUUUACCGGAAUAGCCGAUCCGAGAGCCUGUCGCUCGGCGCUCGGUGAGGCGAAAUCUCAAUAGAACGACUACGCAUGUAGACGCUUAUCCUGAAGCAUCUCGGGACGGGGGUUCGAAUCCCCCCGCCUCCAUUC
rnacentral:tmRNA from 1 species